rnacentral:rRNA from 1 species
CAAACUGGGAUUAGAUACCCCACUAUGCUCAGCCUUAAACUCAAGUAAUUCACAAACAAAAUUACUCGCCAGAGGACUACUAGCAAUAGCUUAAAACUCAAAGGACUUGGCGGUGCUUUAUAUCCUUCUAGAGGAGCCUGUUCU